rnacentral:rRNA from 1 species
UUCAGGGGUAAACCUGAGAAACCCGAAAGGUCGAAAGGGGAGAUUCAGCGUGUCUCGAUCGUGGCGCUGGACGGUCGUGYGACGGACGGCGUACGCGUCGUCCGCGCCUUUCGUCCUCCGAACUGCGGUCGAACGCGUGCACUUCUCCCCCUGUAGGACGUCGCGAUUCGUCGGGUGUCGGCCUAAGGCUCGAGGUGGAGUUCGUCCGGACGUUUCGGCGUUCGUGACGAACCCUCGGUGUUUCCCGGUCGGCUCGCUCGACGAUAUACAGAUGGCGCGGGGCCGCUACGUUAGUUAGCGUUCGACCUUCGGCAAGCGCGCUCCUCGCGACGGUGAUCGGACCCGGUGCCGGUCCCGUCCCCGGGCGACUGUUGGCCGAGGUGUUCUCGAACAGACCUCGUUUUGAAACGCCGAUCUGCGACGCUAUAGCUUUGGGUACUUUC